CAGCAAAGAGAGGCCGUUCCAUAGUUACGCUCAAUCAAUUACUACUACUAAUGGCAACCACUACCACCGUAGCAUUACCGCUACUAUUGAUAUUGGUGCCCAUCGCGGUCACGAUGUGUCAAAGGUGGUGAAAUUUCGAUGCCAGAACACCAUUAAUAUUACCUACUAAUAUCUAGCUAAGGAAGUGGAAAAACUUAUUGGUAAAGUUAUUCUACGAAAUAAACAUAGGGGAGCACCUGCAAUUUGGGAACUAUACUAAGGUACAUACCCUACUGUACGCUGAAAUGACAGGCACUACUAGUAUAAGAUAUUCAAGCUUAUGAAUUUUAGAAAGUGUUGAAGUAUAAACAUCCAUGGCUUCGAAAGAUCAGUAUAAUAAGGAAGACAAAUACUUUACCUGUGAAAUAUGCGGCCUCUCAGAAAUCUAUCAUUACUAUGGAUGCAAGCCCCCAUUUCAUAAGGGCGUUACUUUCUUGGAGGAUUGUUACUUGUUGCGUGAUCCAUUCCAGAGUGGAGGUGUAGAGUCGUUCUUGCUCCUUGGGUCAUCUUGCUCUGUUUGCAAACGUGUUGUGUGCCAGUCAAGUUCUUGCAGCAUCUUCUAUACUAAAAGAUUCUGCGUCAGUUGUGUUGCUUCCCUCCCUAAGGAAUUUCCACCAGAAGUGCAGAAACGAACCAAAUCGUAGGAAGAUGAUGGUCUUGACCUUUUCAUAUCUGCACAAAUUGAGAAUAUUUUAAGCUUUCUUUGAUAUAUGAAUUAUACUUAGUUAUAUAUACAAUGAAGAAGGCAUGCAUAAUAUUUCCAAAAGUCAUAUUAUUGGAAUAACACAGGAUGAAUAACAUGUAUUUACCAUUUUCAAUAUAAGUAUUUUAUUAAA